rnacentral:rRNA from 1 species
AUUGAACGCUGGCGGCAGGCCUAACACAUGCAAGUCGAACGGUAACAGGGAUCAGCUUGCUGAUUCGCUGACGAGUGGCGGACGGGUGAGUAAUGUCUGGGAAACUGCCUGAUGGAGGGGGAUAACUACUGGAAACGGUAGCUAAUACCGCAUAACGUCGCAAGACCAAAGAGGGGGACCUUCGGGCCUCUUGCCAUCGGAUGUGCCCAGAUGGGAUUAGCUAGUAGGUGGGGUAACGGCUCACCUAGGCGACGAUCCCUAGCUGGUCUGAGAGGAUGACCAGCCACACUGGAACUGAGACACGGUCCAGACUCCUACGGGAGGCAGCAGUGGGGAAUAUUGCACAAUGGGCGCAAGCCUGAUGCAGCCAUGCCGCGUGUAUGAAGAAGGCCUUCGGGUUGUAAAGUACUUUCAGCGGGGAGGAAGGGAGUAAAGUUAAUACCUUUGCUCAUGGACGUUACCCGCAGAAGAAGCACCGGCUAACUCCGU